rnacentral:rRNA from 1 species
AGUGAACGCUGGCGGUAGGCCUAACACAUGCAAGUCGAACGGAGUGGCGGACGGGUGAGGAAUACAUCGGAAUCUGCCUGGUAGUGGGGGAUAACUUCCGGAAACGGGCGCUAAUACCGCAUACUAUCAGAUGAGCCUAGGUGGGAUUAGCUAGUUGGUGGGGUAAAGGCCUACCAAGGCGACGAUCCGUAACUGGUCUGAGAGGAUGAUCAGUCACACUGGAACUGAGACACGGUCCAGACUCCUACGGGAGGCAGCAGUGGGGAAUAUUGGACAAUGGGCGAAAGCCUGAUCCAGCCAUGCCGCGUGUGUGAAGAAGGUCUUCGGAUUGUAAAGCACUUUAAGUUGGGAGGCGUUACCAGCAGAAUAAGCACCGGCUAACUUCGUGCCAGCAGCCGCGGUAAUAC